AGCGGAUAACAGCCGCGGCAGCAAAUAGCAGCAGUAGCAGUGGAGUCACGGACAACAACAGCGACAGCGGUAGCGAACAGCAACGGAAGCUAAGGAGACUCGGUCGAUGACAAAGGAAGACUCGAAGGUAGCAGGAGAAAUCAUCGACAACAAAGGCAAAGGGAGAAAUCGUCAACGGCAGAGGCAAAGGGAGAAAGCGAACGCUAGGGUUGGGAGUCAAGGUCGCGCACAGGUUUUGAGGUAACUGCGUGCGUUAGUUGGCUCAAUCGAACCAACAAAUGCACAUUUAACCGAACUCGGUUGCCUUAUAUCAACCAGGUCCUCACAGGAAUCGCCCGGUGCCCAGGCUAGAACGAGCGCCCAAGCGAUGCCUUUGAAGCGCGCUGCCUGGCCAUUAUAUGAGGCGCGAUGCCUUAUUGAAGCACGCCGCCUGGCCCUUAUAUAAGGCACUAAGGGCUCGCCUUGCCUAGCCCGAGCGCUCGAGCAACUUUUUAAAUCACUGCUUGAACAUUAAUUAACAGAUUCAAUAGCCAGCCAUUGUAAACAACCUGCAUAUUGUCACGGACAAACUUCUAAACAGGAUGUUUGAUGUAAUGCUUAUGUAUGUCCGUGUCUUUUGGUAUGUUCAUGCCUUGUACAGCAUGUAGAGGGACGACCGAAGGCUUAAUAGUCCCAUUUUAGUUGGGUUGGUGGCCUCUUUAGGCUUGUAAAUAAAGGUUGUGUCAUGUGGACACGUGCGAGAGAUUUUCGGUCUGUAAUGGACCAUUUUACCCUUUGUUGUGCAACUGUUCAGAACUUGUAAAGUCUGUUUGUAAUUUGCAUUGUCUAUGAAGUGUUUUUCGGAUAUGUUUGCUUGUGGAUCCCGAUUGAGGCGUUCUCUCUAACCCGUUCUCUCUUUUGUUGGUCCUAAGGGNNNNNNNNNNNNNNNNNNNNAGAGAUGUUGCUCCAAUGGGAUAGUUAUCCAAGAGGGAUAAGUCCCGGCUCUCCAGAGGGAGAAUCAUGUGGGACGGACCUCACAAGUUGAGGAGUACCUCAACAAACAACUCUACGAAGCUCAAUGGACUAAGCAAGCAGCGAGGAGUCGUUGCAUGAUCUCGCUCGAGAGAAUGCAUUGGUGGAUGCAUUGCGAGAUAAAGUGGGGGAGCGACCCAAAACAACUUAAAUGAAGGCACACUUGGAGUCGAUGUGGAGAUCGGACUCAAGGGAGGGCUGACCCGUGAAAUGGUGGGCGCGAGGGCCACCAUCGACUCAAUGCAAAAACGAGGAGCGGAGCAACUUGGGUGUAACUUGGAGAAGUACCCAAGCCGCAUGAAGGGAGCCAACAUAGAAGUUGGAACAUGGAGCGGAGGCACAGUGCUUUCCUUGGACAGAGGUCAAGGACAUGAACUCUUGCAGAGGCAAGAGUAGAAUCAUGUUGUUCUAUGGGUUCUUCAUCCUGACGGAGCGGACUCAUCUUGCAUGGUGCCAAAGACGAAAGGAGCUUCUGGGCACAUGCACCUUAUCUCGGAGAAGCAUUUGAUGAAGGAACUAAGGCGACUCAAUUUGCGGAGGCGAAAUUGGGUUCAGAAGGCCUUAGCACGGGGCAAGAGGACUCAGAGGUGGGUACUCUUGAAGAAUAUGCCACAGUGUUGCCAUUCAAGUUGUCAUGAAGGAAGAGGUGCGCAGCGGAGAUUGUGCUGGUAGGGGUAGAGACCCAGGAUCCAGACAAUGGUGCACAAAUUACCGUGAAGUCGGUGGACUUCGGGAGCUACUAGGCGACGGACUGUCCUAGAGCGGUGCUUCAUCUAAGUAUGACCCAAGAGUGGGUAGAUGAAGGUCGAUUGCCAAAGGAGCGAACAAAAUCGAAGGUGGAAGAGACCCUACGAUGUAUUGGCAGAGGCCACACAUGGAGGGUUCACAAUUCGAGUUUAUUCCACAAGGAUCAGAAUGCAAUGGAGAUGUCACUAGGAGGCGACAUGGUGCAGCGGAUCGUGGUGGAACAGUUCGUGGCAAUGCGAUACACACGACAUAGUCCCGUGAGGGACUAGAUCAUAUGGAGGUAUGAUCGGGAGCAACUGGAAGCUCCACUUCGGUGAACAACACGACGGCAAGAAGGGCUAUGGAUUCAAGGAGUGAAGGCCAUGGUACCGCAGAGGCGGGUCUUCCGUGCGUGCAUCGAAUUUUGCAUCGGAUGAAAGCCUUGGUCAUCAGCAUAUGGGGGCUGUGUUCCACCAAGGGAAAAGUUCGAAUGCAAGUACCAAUGAGUCCCAUGGGAGGGACUUGAUCAUGCAGAGGUAUGAUUGAAGCAGCUGGAGAGUUGGACUGCUCCAGAGCUCAUAUUCGCUUAAGGGGGCCCGGCAAGUCAGAGGACUUGGUCGAGUAAGCGAACGUUGCUACCAAGGAAGCUAAGGAGAACAGAAUCGGUGCAAACCCUGCAACGUGAUGGUAGAGGUCAUGCAUGGGAGUUGCAGUCUGUCUUUCCAUCGACCAAACGGACUGCUUGGAGAACACAGAGGUGUUGAAGCAGGGGGUCGAAAGGGGCGAGGAAGCGACGACGAGUCCAGAGGGACUUAGCUACCCAAAAUCAAGCAUCAGUUAGAAUGUAGGUGGACUCAGAAGUGUGCCACGGAGACAUCUACUGAUCGUGAAGAAAAGGGAUGCAGAUGCGAGGCGACGGAUAGUAGGGCCAUGGGCAUGGCAGCGCCAUGGUACCGCGGAGGCGGGACUUCCGUGAAAGUCAUUAAUCCCUUGCUCUCAUGGAGGGAGAGCGCUUGGUCGUGAAAGGGGCCGAGGAGGUGGAGAAUGCAGAGGCAAUCUCCAAGUACCGAGACAAGGCUGAAGGGCAGAGGCCGAAGAACUUCAUAAGACCGGUGUCAAUGAGCUUCUCAUCAAGAUAGACGAAAGUGAAGGACUUCGGGUCAUGCAAGAGUGCAUAACCAAGGAACGAAGCAGGCAGUACGCGGUGCUGUACCUUCGCUACUCAGGGGAGUAGGCGGCAAGGUCGAUUGAGAAGAUGAUACAAUCCCAGAGGCGACCAAACCUAUGAGAGAAUUACUCCAAGUUGGGGUGAAAACUUCCUGCAUUCCAGAAGUUCGAUAGCAUUGAGAAGGUGAAUCACAGUAACUAACUCAACGCAAGGAGUGCAAACACUUCAAGUGCUUCAGAAGUGUGAGCAAAGAGCAGGCAAAGGCUAGUAACCAGCUCGAUGCAUGGAGUACAACCUCGAGGAGGCGAGCGAAGUCAAGUAACCUUUGCCUUCUCAACCCUUAAGAGAAUGGGCGAAACCGAGUACCCCAAUUCUCUUAUCUAUCCAGCAGAGGAGCUCUGCACAAGUUCAAAGACCCUUCGAAGAUAAUGGAAGACAAUAGUUGUCAAAUCCUCACCAACGGUGAUCAGUGCUACUGAGAGUAGAUUGUCCGCUUCAUUUCCUAACGAAAUGUCAAUCGAAAGCGGAAGUGAUGCGAACCUACUUGGAUGUGACAACUAAGUGAAAGAAGAGUCAAUGAGCAAAUUUUGUGCAGAAAGGACCCAAAACUUCAGAAGUUUACGAGACGAUGCUCGUUAAAGCUCCAACAAGCAUCCACCCAGUUCAAGCAGCGUGAGGAAUUUGAGAGACUGACGCAUUAAGGAUGGUCUUUUCCUUCAUCUAGGGGAUCUGCAGGAAUCAACAAGGAUCAACACAACUCAGCCAACCCCACACCAGAGUCAGAGUCAUUGGUGAGUUGAAGCAGCAUGGCGGAUUAAAAGGUUCGACUACUCAAAAACAGCAGCAGGGAGCAGCUGGGAGCCAAGAGGCGCAUUGUAGCUGGAGCAGAAGAUUGAAGACUCGGCAAAGGCGAGGAGUUGCAGUGUCGACAAAGGCUUCAACGAGGACGUCGAAGGAAUAAGUGGGGGAGAAUGUCACGGACAAACUUCUAAACAGGAUGUUUGAUGUAAUGCUUAUGUAUGUCCGUGUCUUUUGGUAUGUUCAUGCCUUGUACAGCAUGUAGAGGGACGGUCGAAGGCUUAAUAAUCUCAUUUUAGUUGGGUUGGUGACCUCUUUAGGCUUAUAAAUAAAGGUUGUGUCAUGUGGACACGUGCGAGAGAUUUUCGGUCUGUAAUGGACCAUUUUACCCUUUGUUGUGCAACUGUUCAGAGCUUGUAAAGUCUGUUUGUAAUUUGCAUUGUCUAUGAAGUGUUUUUCGGAGAUGUUUACUUGUGGAUCCCGAUUGAGGCGUUCUCUCUAUCCCGUUCUCUCUCUUGUUGGUCCUAAGGGACAAU
rnacentral:lncRNA from 1 species